rnacentral:rRNA from 1 species
GACAGAGGUGCCGAGCGUUAGGCGGAAUCACUGGGCUUAAAGCGUGUGUAGGCGGGCGGGCAAGUACCUUGUGAAAUCCCACGGCUUAACCGUGGAACUGCUUGGUAUACUGGCGGUCUUGAGCCAGCUAGGGGCUACCGGAACAAAUGGUGGAGCGGUGAAAUGCGUAGAUAUCAUUUGGAACGCCAAUGGUGAAAACAGGUAGCUGGGGCUGUGCUGACGCUGAGACACGAAAGCCAGGGGAGCAAACGGG